rnacentral:rRNA from 1 species
UACAGAGGUCUCAAGCGUUGUUCGGAUUCAUUGGGCGUAAAGGGUGCGUAGGCGGAUUGUCAAGUCGGGGGUGAAAUCCUGGAGCUCAACUCCAGAACUGCCUUCGAUACUGGCGAUCUCGAGUUCGGGAGAGGUGAGUGGAACUGCGAGUGUAGAGGUGAAAUUCGUAGAUAUUCGCAAGAACACCAGUGGCGAAGGCGGCUCACUGGCCCGAUACUGACGCUGAGGUGCGAAAGCGUGGGGAGCAAACAGG